GGCUGGUCUGAAGGUAGUGAGUUAUCUCAAUUGAUUGUUCACUGUCAGUUACAGAUCAAACUCCUUGUUACACUCUUUCCCCAACCCUUAUAACUACUGUACUUGACUAUCCUAAA
ensembl:Y_RNA Y_RNA Y RNA